rnacentral:rRNA from 1 species
AGUGAACGCUGGCGGCGUGCUUAAUACAUGCAAGUCGAACGGAAUUUAAAAGAGCUUGCUCUUUUGAAUUUAGUGGCGCACGGGUGAGUAAUAUAUAGCUAAUCUGCCCCUUGCUGGAGGACAACAGUUAGAAAUGACUGCUAAUACUCCAUACUCCUUUUUACCAUAAGAUAAAUCGGGAAAGAAUUUCGGCAAGGGAUGAGACUAUAUCGUAUCAGCUAGUCGGUGGGGUAACGGCCUACCGAGGCUAUGACGCGUAACUGGUCUGAGAGGAUGAUCAGUCACAUUGGAACUGAGACACGGUCCAAACUCCUACGGGAGGCAGCAGUAGGGAAUAUUGCGCAAUGGGGGAAACCCUGACGCAGCAACGCCGCGUGGAGGAUGACACUUUUCGGAGCGUAAACUCCUUUUGUUAGGGAAGAAUAAUGACGGUACCUAACGAAUAAGCACCGGUAA